AUGGUGGACUUCAAUGAUAUGGAGAGCGAGGUCAAGGUGAUGCUUGCAUCGACCAAGCCCUACAAUCUACUUGGAAGAUGGGGCAGCCCCAUUGAGAACAGGCUGGAUGCCUCAGACCUAAGCGGUCUGCUGGCAUGCCUUGAUAGUAUGUCUUUGAAUUUUUUGCUUUUUGGAUGUUGUCUUGAAGAAGAGGCGGCACGGUCAGCUAACGAGUUAAAGCAGUUUCUUGAACCAUUGGACUUCAUCAUGGAACAGCCGAGGAAACAGUUCAACUGGACUAGACGCAACGGGCUCCUGUAUAUGAGUGGAAGUGUCUCCGUUAAAACUCGCAUGGCCUUGAUGGUGGACUUCAAUGAUUUGAAGAGCGAGGUCAAGGUGAUGCUUGCAUCUACCAAGGUGCAUGGAGAAGAAGGAACACAAGAGAAGGGCAAAUAUGAUAUACAAGAGAAGAAGAAGCAAAUGUCCAAAUUGUUGUUUUCAAGUGAGCCACAGCCCGCGGAGUGA
rnacentral:rRNA from 1 species